rnacentral:rRNA from 1 species
GACGAACGCUGGCGGCGUGCUUAACACAUGCAAGUCGAACGAAGAGCGAUGGAAGCUUGCUUCUAUCAAUCUUAGUGGCGAACGGGUGAGGAACGCGUAAUCAACCUGCCCUUCAGAGGGGGACAACAGUUGGAAACGACUGCUAAUACCGCAUACGAUCUAACCUCGGCAUCGAGGAUAGAUGAAAGGUGGCCUCUACAUGUAAGCUAUCACUGAAGGAGGGGAUUGCGUCUGAUUAGCUAGUUGGAGGGGUAACGGCCCACCAAGGCGAUGAUCAGUAGCCGGUCUGAGAGGAUGAACGGCCACAUUGGGACUGAGACACGGCCCAGACUCCUACGGGAGGCAGCAGUGGGGAAUCUUCCGCAAUGGACGAAAGUCUGACGGAGCAACGCCGCGUGAGUGAUGACGGCCUUCGGGUUGUAAAGCUCUGUUAAUCGGGACGAAAGGCCUUCUUGCGAAUAGUUAGAAGGAUUGACGGUACCGGAAUAGAAAGCCACGGCUAACUACGUG